rnacentral:rRNA from 1 species
UACGAAGGGGGCUAGCGUUGUUCGGAAUUACUGGGCGUAAAGGGCUCGUAGGCGGCCAACUAAGUCAUACGUGAAAUCCCUCGGCUUAACCGGGGAACUGCGUCUGAUACUGGAUGGCUUGAGUUCGGGAGAGGGAUGCGGAAUUCCAGGUGUAGCGGUGAAAUGCGUAGAUAUCUGGAGGAACACCGGUGGCGAAGGCGGCAUCCUGGACCGAUACUGACGCUGAGGAGCGAAAGCCAGGGGAGCAAACGGG